GAUGAACGCUGGCGGCGUGCCUAAUACAUGCAAGUCGAGCGAACGGACGAGAAGCUUGCUUCUCUGAUGUUAGCGGCGGACGGGUGAGUAACACGUGGAUAACCUACCUAUAAGACUGGGAUAACUUCGGGAAACCGGAGCUAAUACCGGAUAAUAUUUUGAACCGCAUGGUUCAAAAGUGAAAGACGGUCUUGCUGUCACUUAUAGAUGGAUCCGCGCUGCAUUAGCUAGUUGGUAAGGUAACGGCUUACCAAGGCAACGAUGCAUAGCCGACCUGAGAGGGUGAUCGGCCACACUGGAACUGAGACACGGUCCAGACUCCUACGGGAGGCAGCAGUAGGGAAUCUUCCGCAAUGGGCGAAAGCCUGACGGAGCAACGCCGCGUGAGUGAUGAAGGUCUUCGGAUCGUAAAACUCUGUAUUUAGGGAAGAACAUAUGUGUAAGUAACUGUGCACAUCUUGACGGUACCUAAUCAGAAAGCCACGGCUAACUACGUG
rnacentral:rRNA from 1 species